rnacentral:lncRNA from 1 species
UGUCUUCCUUUGGAACUUUCUUUUCCCCAGUGAGGUCUCCAGUCCAGUCGUGUCUUGUUCACGCAGCGUCAGUUUCCCCUAAUUCAGAGCCGUGUCCUGCUCACGCAUUCUUUUUCUUAUCCCCAUGAGAGUCCUGUUAGAGUCUCUGUUCCUGGUGAGUGUAUUACUCCGAUGGAUCAUCUUUUCUUUGUGGACCAGUAUUCACCACAGAGGUUGUUUCUUUUGCAUGCAUACAUCUACAUCAUGAGGUCUCUUAGGGACCAAAAUUUG